rnacentral:rRNA from 1 species
AGCGAACGCUGGCGGCAGGCUUAACACAUGCAAGUCGAGUGGGCACUUUCGGGUGUCAGCGGCGGACGGGUGAGUAACGCGUGGGAACGUGCCCUCUGGUUCGGAAUAACUCAGGGAAACUUGAGCUAAUACCGGAUACGCCCUUUUGGGGAAAGGCUUGCUGCCGGAGGAUCGGCCCGCGUCUGAUUAGCUAGUUGGUGAGGUAACGGCUCACCAAGGCGACGAUCAGUAGCUGGUCUGAGAGGAUGAUCAGCCACACUGGGACUGAGACACGGCCCAGACUCCUACGGGAAGCAGCAGUGGGGAAUAUUGGACAAUGGGCGCAAGCCUGAUCCAGCCAUGCCGCGUGAGUGAUCAAGGCCUUAGGGUUGUAAAGCUCUUUUAUCCGGGACGAUAAUGAUGGUACCGGAGGAAUAAGCCCCGGCUAACUUCGUG